UUUAAGGGGAAAUGAGCAGAACAAGAGAUACGACUCAUACAACCCUCCAUGUGCAAGAAAUCUUCCUCUGCCGAAGUCAUUGACAGUGCAAGAAAAUGGUUGCAGCCUUCUUGUUGGAGAACAAAGAAGUUUAUUAAGAGCAAAACUUCUUCCAGACAUCAUUUGAUUUGGCGGGUGUAAUAUUCUGAACCUCACAGCAUUAAGUUGAGCUUUUCCAAACCAUGAAAUAACCACAUCCAAACCCUCUAUUCACAAGAGUUGCAUUUUGCAUCAUUGUUUUAGCCUUUUAGCCAGUUCCUUCUCACUGCGAUGAAGCUUUCUCACUACUGCCAACAGAAUCAAGCAAUGCUAAAUACUCAUUUAUGGCCUCG
rnacentral:misc_RNA from 1 species